ACCUACGGGGCGCAGCAGUAGGGAAUCUUCCACAAUGGGCGAAAGCCUGAUGGAGCAACGCCGCGUGGGUGAAGAAGGUCUUCGGAUCGUAAAACCCUGUUGUUAGAGAAGAAAGUGCGUGAGAGUAACUGUUCACGUUUCGACGGUAUCUAACCAGAAAGCCACGGCUAACUACGUGCCAGCAGCCGCGGUAAUACGUAGGUGGCAAGCGUUAUCCGGAUUUAUUGGGCGUAAAGGGAACGCAGGCGGUCUUUUAAGUCUGAUGUGAAAGCCUUCGGCUUAACCGGAGAAGGGCAUUGGAAACU
rnacentral:rRNA from 1 species